rnacentral:rRNA from 1 species
UACAGAGGUCUCAAGCGUUGUUCGGAUUCAUUGGGCGUAAAGGGUGCGUAGGUGGCGCCGUAAGUCGGGUGUGAAAUUUCGGAGCUUAACUCCGAAACUGCAUUCGAUACUGCGGUGCUUGAGGACUGGAGAGGAGACUGGAAUUCAUGGUGUAGCAGUGAAAUGCGUAGAGAUCAUGAGGAAGACCAGUGGCGAAGGCGGGUCUCUGGACAGUUCCUGACGCUGAGACACGAAGGCCAGGGGAGCAAACGGG